CGAAUACACUGCCUGACUCCAUGUCCGUGUGUCUGGGUCUCCACUGUGGGAACACCAGCUAUCAUAGAGACCUAUGUCCAUCUGCCUGUUCAGCAAGCACAGGAAUUCAAGCAGAAGAGGCUCAGUGGAAGCAGCAGGAGGAAGGGAAUAGGGCACCCCAGCUGAUCCUUCAGAAGCAUCACCACCCUACAUAGGGAAAGUGGGUAUGAAAGAGAGGUGCUCUCUUGCAAUUUCUCUAGGGACUUCACACUGUGGAAUUCCCAAACUGCCCUGAUGAGGGGCUUUGGAGGUCAACCAUCAAACCCACCCCAUGGGAAUCUAUGGGAGGUUUCAGGCAGGCUCCACUCAUCAAACCUGGGAGUCAGAACAAGACAGAGAGAUGCGAGCAGACUCUAUGAGCCAGCUCAGAGCCAUCAGGACUGAGAUAAGCUCCCGACAGAGCAAAGUCCUAGACCGAGCUCAAAGCAGCUGGCAGCACUUGCCCCAUGACUGCACUGAAGGGCUGCAUGGAUACAUGCACUACACAGGUGCUACCAUCUUUGCUGGAAGUUUCUCUUCAAUUCCUUUUUUUUAAAGAUCUUUUUUUUAAAGAUCAUACACAUUGACUUCUGUUUCAAGAUAUGACAUAUUUCUGCUCAUCUUUAUUCUCAUCAUUAGGCUGUCCAUGCAGCUGGGGCUUAAAACCCAGGCUUCUGAAGGGGUCCACAUGGAAGGGCAGAUGUCCUCUUAAGUGGCCCAAGAGCAUCUCCCCAGUAAGGCACAGGACCUAGCAGAUCCUGAGGACUGCUCAUCAAGAGGAAAGAGUUGAAAGAGACAGAAACACACCUUCCACUCAGAGAGACACCAUAGAAAACACAUGCAGAUUCGUCAUCUCCAUUCCUGGAUUAUUGAGGUAAAUGCAAACUCUCCACUUGGCUAGAUAAAUAGGCCUGCAGAAAUGCUCACCGCCCCAUGUGUGCUCAGCAGGGUACAAAAACUGGGGAGUUCCUAUUGUGGCUCAGUUGUAUCCAUGAGGAUGCGUGUUUGAUACCUGGUCUCAUUCAGUGGGUUAAGGAUCCAGUGUUGCCAUGAGCAGUGGUACACGUAGCAGAUGAGGCUCGGAUCCUACGUUGCUGUGGCUGCGGUGUAAGCAGGCAGCUGCAGCUCCAAUUUGACCCCUGCCUGGGAACUUACAUAUGCUGUGGGUGCAGCCCUAAAAAGACAUAAAUAAACAAAUAAUAAAUACCACAACAAACAUUAUAUUUGAUGGUAAAACAUUACAAUCAGUCUAUGUAAAUUAAGAAGCAACCAUAAUGAUGGCUUCUACUAACCAUUAUACUAACAAAUUCAGUAAGAAAAGAAAGUAUGACAGCAAUGAAGUAGAAAAUAGAUAAACAAUUAAGAAUAUGAGAACAGAGGAGGAUCAAGACGGCAGAGUAGGAGGAUGUGGAGUUCAUCCCCUGAACAAAUACAACCAAAAUACAUCUACAUGUGGAACAAUUCUCACAGGAAACACACUGGAAACUGGCAGAAUAUUUCCCAUAUAAUGAAAGCUGCACAAACGAUCUCUACAUAACUAGGUAGGAAGUGAGGGGAAAGGCAUUCGGAAGGGAUCAAUGCCCAUGGGAGGGAUCUGUAACAGAGAGAAGGUCCUCGUGGGCAGACUCCCACCCUCAGGAGCCCUCUUGCCUGCUCUUAAAUCCACUGGAACAGAGACAGUGGCUGAAGAAGCUUCAACUCUGCUUAUAAGGAGCACACACAUUUUGACUUGCUAACAAUCGGGUGGAGAGAGACCAGUGCUGGUGCCCAUUGCCUUGCCACACUUCUUAAUCCAAAGGGGCAAAUGUCCCAUCCUGCUCACUCCACACUGAAGUCUGGCACAAGAUUAGGCAGAGAUUUGGUCUAGCUCUGCAGAGAGAGACUAGGGCACCUGGGGCAUGAUCCAGAGUGGAGAACUAUGGAGCUCACUGCCAGCAUGUGCAUGGCAGCAGCAGGUCCACUUGUGGCACUUUUUCAGUGCACAGCCCUAGGGUAGCACAGAAACACACAGCGACUAGGCACUGAGUCUCAGCAGACAGGCUCUAAAUAGGAGUCUGUAGCAAUUCCUUUCCCAGCAGGAGUGCUCCAGCUCCACCUACUCCACACUGCAUCUUGCAGCUAGACCUGAGGCAGAUAGGUCCUGGGAGAAGUCUGCCAAUAGAGGCAGCCCAGGUCUAGAAGACAGCACAGCUAUUUCAAUUCCUUUGGUGACAGCACCCCAGUCUCUAGCUCCAGUCUACUCCACACCACAACCUAGUACUAGGUCUGAGACAAACUGAGAAAGUGAUACAAAAUUGGGCUGUUUCUGGGUGGAACUGCGAACACCCGCAUAGAUGGCACAUAAGUUCCUUGUGACCACACAGGCCUCAGUAGUCACCUCCUUUGAGCAAAGCACACACUUAAGGGCAACAGAGCCCUGAGCAAACCCAACCCUCAGGGAUUUGACUUCAACAUUUAUGGAGCAGACCCCAUCCCUGACAGAGCAGUGACAGCCACAGAGCAGAGAGGAAGCCCUGUUUCACAACGAGAACAGGCUGUAGUUAUUACAACACCAAAUACACCCCUUAUGAAAGGGACAACAACCAGCACACCCUGAGGAAAGACAGGGCUGGCAUCCACACCAAAACCAUAUCUGACACUAAACAUAUUGGACACACAGUCUACACUAUGUGUGGGAUGCCCCCACAUAAAAACACCCACAAAAAAGACCACAGUAGAUAACUAUUUCUUCUAAAUUCAUAGAGACAGAGAAAGAUAAGUAAAAUUAAAAGAUAAAGGAACUACUCCAACUAAAAGAACAAGAGAGGAGUUCACAUCAUGGCUCAGUAGAAACAAAUAUGACUAGUAUCUAUGAGGAUGCAGGUUCAAUCCCUGCCCUUGCUCAGUGGGUUAAGGAUCCAGCAUUGCCGUGAGCUGUGGUAUAGGUUGCAGACACAGCUUGGAUGUGGCAUUGCUGUGACUGUGGCUGUGGUGUAGGCCAGCAGCCAUAGCUCUGAUUCAACCCUUAGCCUGGGAACCUCCAUAUGCUGUGGGUGCAAUCCUAAAAAGACAAAAAAUAAAAAUAAAAUAAAAUAAAUAAAAGAACAAGGGAAAUCCCCUGAAAGAACAAGUAAUGAAACAGAGCUCACCAAUCUACUAGACACCAAGUUCAAAAGAAUGGUAAUAAAAUGUGAACUGAAUUGAGAAAGACUGUACAUAAAAAUGCAGAUCACUAUAGCGAGAAACUAGAAACUAUAAAGAAGAAUCAAUCAAAAAUAGACAAUUCAAUUGCCAAACUAAAGACCUAUCUAGAAAAAAUGAAUAGCCAACUAAAUGACAUAGGAAAGUGAAUGAGUGACCUAAAAGACAGAAUAAUGGAAUUCACCCAAUCAGAACAGCAGACAAAUUUUUUAAAAUGAGGGCGUUCCAUGGUGGUCUAGUGGUUAGGAAUUGGUACUUUCAUUGCUGUGGUCCAGGUUCAAUCCCUGGUCUGGGAAAUGAGAUUCCAUAUCAAGCUGCUGCACACCAUGCCCCCACCCCAAAAAAGCAACAUACAAGAUCUAUAGGGUGAUGUAAAGCAUGCCAACCUAUGUAUUAUAGGGAACGCCAGAAGAAAAAGAAAGAGAAAAGGGGAUUCAAAAUAUAUUUGAAGAUUUAUUGAAGAAAUUAUGGCUGAAAAAUAUCAAAAUGUAAAGAAGGAAACAGAUAUCCAGGUACAGGAAAUACAGAGGGUUGCAAACAAGAUGAACCCAAACAAACACACACCAAGACAUAUGACAAUUAAAAUGGCAAAAGUCAAAGGCUAAGAGAGGAUUCUAAAGGCAGUAAGAGAAAAACAAAGAGUCAGUUACAAGGGAACCCACAUAAGGCUGUCAGCUGACUUCUCUAUAGAAACUUUGCAGGCCAUGUGGGAAUGCCAUCAUACAUUCAAAGUUCUAAAAGGGAAAAAACUGCAACCUAAGAUACUUCACCCUGCAAGAUUAUCAUUUAGAAUAGAAGAAAAGAGAAAAUUUCUCAGACAAGCAAAAACUAAGAAUACAGUAAUAUUAAACUUACACUGGAAGAAAUACUGAAGGGUCAUCUCUAAGUAGAAAAGAAGCAUGAAUCUACAAGAAGGGGAAAAAUCACAAUAGGAAAGGCAAAUAUAUAAAAGGAUUGAAGAUCACUUACCUAAGGGAGCACAUGGAUUAAAGGCAAUCAAAAAAAUUUAUAAAAGUGAUUAUAUCUACAAUAAACAUGCAUAUAUAAAAUAAGACAGCAAAAUCACAAAAUAUGGGAGAGGAGGGCAUAAAAAGUGUAAAUUUUUUUCUUUUUUGGCCGCACCCACAGCAUGUGAAAGUUUCCAGGCUAGGAAUCAAACCCAUGCAAAGCAGUGACAACACUGGAUCCUUAAUCUGCUGAGCCACAAGGGAAUGCAAGUGUAGAUCUUUUAGAAUGUGUUUGAAAUUGAAUGACUAUCAAUUUAAAGCAAGUAGAUAUAGUUAUGGGUCAACAUACUUGAAUUCCAUGGUAACCACAAACCAAAAUCAUACAAUAGAGUCACAAAAAUAAAAAAGAAAGCAAAAGAAAAUCAUCAAAUCACAAAAGGAAAAACAGGAAAGAAUAAAUAAAGAACUAUAGAAACAAUUGGAAGACAAGGUUUAAAAUGGCAGUAAGUACAUAAUUAUCAAUAACCACUUAAAUGUCAAUAGACUAAAUGCUCCAAUCAAAAGACUAGAGUAUCACACCAGAUUUGGAAAAAAAAAAAAAAAACAGAGUUCCCAUUGUGGCUCAGAGGCUAAGAACCCAAAUAGUAUCCAUGAGGAUGCAGGUUUGAUCCCUGGCCUCACUCAGUGGGUUAAGGAUCCGGCGUUACCACAAGCUGUGGCAUAUGUCACAGAUACAGCUCAGAUCUGGUAUUGCCAUAGCUGUGGCAUAGGCCAGCAGCUGCAGCUCUGAUUCGACCCCCUAGCCUGGGAACUUCCAUAUGCUGCAGACGUAGCCCUAAAAGAGAGAGAGAAAGGGAACAUGUAAUAUUCUGUCUACAAGAGACCUGCUUCAUGGGAAAGACACACACAGACUGAGAUUAAGGGGAUGAAAAGUUAUUUCAUGCAAAUGGAAAUGACAAGAAAGUGGGGAUAGCAAAAUUUCUAUCAGACAAAAUAGACCUUAAAACAAAGGCCAUAAAGAAAGUCAAAGAAGGACAUUAUACAAUAAUAAAGGGAUCAAUACAAGAAGAGGAUAUUACACUCACUAACAUAUAUGUACCCAAUAUAGGAGCACCUAAAUAUACAAAACAAAUACUAAUGGAAACAAAGAUUAAUAAUAGAAUGAUAUUAGAUUUUAACACCCUACUGACAUCAAUGGACAAAUCAUCCAGAAAAUAAAUAAAACAACAGAGGUCCUAGAGUUCCUGUCGUGGUGCAGCAGAAACAAAUCCAACUAGGAACCAUGAGGUUGUGGGUUUGAUCCCUGGCCUUGCUCAGUGGGUUAAGGAUCUGGCGUUGCCGUGACCUGUUGUGUAGGUCAAAGACACAGCUCAGAUCUGGCAUUUCUGUGGCUUUGGUGUAGACCGGCAGAAAAAGCUCCGAUUAGACCCCUAGCCUGGAAACCUCCAUAUGC
rnacentral:lncRNA from 1 species